ensembl:lncRNA
UGCCUGUCUGCCUGAUGCACUGAGAACUAAAGUUGGGGUUGUGGGCUUAUUCUUUCUGGGGAAAACCCCACCUUUCAAUGCGGGGAAAUGUCUAAAAACAUAAUUUUCUUGACAUCAACAUUAUUUGAAUGUUGUCAGUCUGUGACAUAAUCUUUUCAUAGUAAAACCUGUUUGCUUCAUUUUCAAACAGAAACGUUCUGAAUAUGGACAGAUCUACCCAAAUCUUCAGGUUUCAGCAGGAGAAGGAUGUGGCUGUGUGAGAUUGUGAGGUGGAGCCUUUUCUUCCACAAUGGCAUCGAGACUCGUUCCAAAAGUGAAUUCCAAACAGGGAGGAUCUCCUUGCAAGGAGAAACACGUGGUUCUGCUCAGCCCCGUGGGAAAGAUCGAGAUAUCGGGGUGUGAAACGGGCGUCCAUGAAAUAAAACUUCCCAAAAUGAGUGAGCUGCCAAGUGGGUGAGUUCAUGUCCUAUUGAUCUGUGGCUCUGCCCCUGCUGGAGGAAGGAGAUUGCCUGGAGGAUCUGAGAGCACACUUGUUUUUGCUAAUCAUACUAGGAGGAGGCUCUUCUGCCCUUAAGGACUCCAAAAUACAUCAAUUCCUCCGCUGCCUCAAAAAUAUUAUCAAACAUUUUAAACUAUAAGUGCUUUUAAUGUAAGUUUUGAAAGAAUCUCCUGCCUCCCUCAAUUUUUGGCACACAUAUAAAUGUCACUGAGGUUAAAAUCUCCUUGCACACCUCACAAAUCUUGGGGACCUACAUCUAUUUUUAUAUUUUUAUAUAUAGAUCCACGCUCCAGCAGGUAGAAGCAGGAUUGACUGAUUGUUUUAAUUACUGUGUAGUACUCGUGAGAGCUUCAGUUGUUUUUCCAGAGCUGUAAUGUCUUCUGGAGUUUGGAACAUAUCCCACAUGGCAGUGGAGAUGAUGUCUGAAAUCCAGGUCUGGCUGAGGAGGCCUCAGUGAAUUUUCCUGUUUGUUUUAAGUUGUGUUCAGUCUGUUGGAGUCCCUCUGUCCUGCUCAGAUCUUUGAUUUUUCCCUUAUUUGUGAGGAAAUUUCAGUGACAUUUUUAGAAGGAACUUUGAAUUCAUUCAGAAUUAGAUGCUAAAUUUCUGUGCCAAAUUUCUUUGCCAAAAUCAAGACUUUCUCUGACUUCUCUAAGACUGGUCUUUCAACUGGGUUUGGUGAUUAAAUUCCACUUUUCCACAGUCUGCUGCAUCGAUGCAGGUUUUUUUGAGACUUUGAUUUAGGUGCUGACUUCUGAGGAUGGAUCAUUUUAAGCUGGAAUCACUGAUGAGAUUCAAACAGGUUUGACUUCUUUUCCCAACAUUGUCUUUUUCUCAUCCUGUGUUUGCUUCUGAAGUUCUCCAUGGAUUUGUAGGAUGUCUGUUUUCCUAUUUUAUUCUGCUUGUAACUGAGAUGGGUGAAAAAUUAAUCAGGAAUAUGGAGCAGAAUGUGUGUUCUGGU